GCCGGUUUAGCUCAGCUGGUAGAGCACCUGAUUUGUAAUCAGGGGGUCGCGGGUUCGAACCCUGCAACCGGCACCA
rnacentral:tRNA from 8 species